GAUUAAGCAAUUUACCAAAGAAGAAACACAAUGGACCAUAAGUAUUUAAGUCUGCAGAGCAUGGUUUUAGUGAAGAUGGAUUUGAUUAUCAUCUUCUAAAGAAAAAUUGCCAUAUCCAUAUAAAUGGUCAGUUUUAAUUAGUUUAUUAUCUUGGGUUUGGUGGAAUUCUUUAAUGGAUAUUUGAGAUAACUGAGCAGAUGAGGGUGGUGGGGUAUUCACUUAUUCAUUCAUUCAGCAGACUUUUCUACAGCACCUACCAUGUACCAAGGACCAUGUGGCUUCCCACUCCCAUUCCUUUCUUCCUUCAUGCCUACCACGUGCCGAGCACGGUGCCAGACUAUGAGGAUACAACGUUGAGAGCGGCAAACUUGCUAUCUGCCCUCAUGGGUCUUGAAGUCUAGUAGAGAGAAGCACAUCUAUACAGAUGAAUACAAGCUAUAGCUGCAUGAGAGAGAUAUGUUGAGAAAGAGUGGAGGGAAAAAGAAUAAGAUCAGAAAAGGCUCAUAGAGAAGAGGAGUCUUGCUGAGUCAUAAAAGAUGAGGAAAUGCUGAUGGUGAGAGGGAAUUCAUCGCUCUAAUAGCAACAUGGGAGAAAGAGGAGAGAGAAGCUGGACCAGGAGCGGGGAGACUAGGCAAGUGAUGAUAGGACCCUGGACUGAGGGAAUAGCAGCAGAGGAAGAGAGAUGGGAACAGAUACGAUAUGUGGUAAAGAGAGAGAAACACGGUCCUGAUGCCUGGAUGAAGGGUAAAAGAAAGAAAAGAGGCAGGAAGACUCCCAAGUCAGGAAGCCUCAGAAGUCGCCUGGGAGGGUGGAUGUUGGUACUGUCCCUGGACAUGGGGACAGGUUUUGCAGAGAUGAACAAACAGUUUGAGGCACCUGCAAGACCCUGGCUGGAUGUAUAUAGGUCUAGAUGCAGGUGAGAGUCUGGGCCAGAAAUAGAUUCUAGAGGCAUCUAUAUCUAAGAGGUCCACUUACAUGAUAGCUUGAAGACGGCCUAAUGCUUUGGACUCUUAGACUCUUAGACUCUCAUUUUAAUUAUUAUAUUGCUGGAGUCACUCUCUCAUUUCCAUUAUUUCAAAUUGUUCAUCCCAUAAAGGAACAUUGCCAGCAGUGGAUAAUCACAGCGCUGCAAUGGCUAAUGCUGCAUUAUGUCCCCUGGGGAGUUUGAAAAUGUAAAGUCCUGGAUCCCACCCCCAGAGACUGAUCAGUACGGUGAGUAGGAGAGGCAGAGACACUUAAUGUUCACCAAAUAUCCAGGCACCCCCCUCAUCAGCCCCUGGCAGUGGGUGAGAUCAUGUGACAGGUUCUGGCCGAUGGACUGUGAGUAGAUGUGCCUGGAGCCCCUGUGACUCUGCUUCCCCUGCCGCAUCGACAGCAAGAGGCCUCGUCUCCAUGGUGGAGUCACAGGAGAGAAGCAGCCUGUGUCCCUGAGUCCCUGCUGGAAAGGAGAUUCCCUGGAGGACACUCAGAGCCACAGUGGACUUUGCAUGAGUGAGAAAUAAACCUUUCAGUGUUAAAUCACUGAGCUUUUAGGGUGUGUCUGUUACUGAAGGCUAGUCUAGCCAAUCCUAACCAAUACAGCCAGCCUUCUGUGUAUCCCAGAAACCAGCUUUAUAAACAUGCACUGUUGGUGAUUCUGGUGCAGUGGCCCGCUGACCACACUUAGUGACCCAGUGUCCUUUGUUCAGAAAUGAGGAUGGGCAUGUCGCUGAAGGAAGCAUGAUCCGUCAGUGUAACUAAUGUGUUGAUCACAGUUUGUGAGCAUCUGCCGUGUGCCAGGCAUAGUGCUAAAUGCUUCACACCUCACAACAUCACCACCCUUGCAAGCUAAGCAUUCUUCAGGCUUUGAGAACAGCGAUCUAGCAUGCCUUUAAUUUUCCUAACAAGAAGUGAAGAUUUUGAAUUCGAAGGGCUGCAAAGAAAAUUUGCUGUGGAGUUACAGUUCCUUCUCUGGGGACCCCAGAAUCUAAGGAAUUUGCAAAUCAGCAAACCAAGCUGAUAGCACAAAUUAGUUGUAAUAAUAUUUCUUUACAAGUUCCUGUGCAUUGACCAUAUGUCAAAAAGAGUGAAAAACAGUCUCCACAGAGAAAGACAAAUACUGUGUGUUCUCACUUAUAUGUGGAAUCUAAAAAAGCCAAACUCAUAGAAAC
rnacentral:lncRNA from 1 species